rnacentral:rRNA from 1 species
CCUACGGUGUGCAUCAGUGGGGGAUAUUGCACAAUGGGGGAAACCCUGAUGCCGCGACGCCGCGUGAGUGAAGAAGUAUUUCGUUAUGUAAAGCUCUAUCAGCAGGGAAGAAAAUGACAUUACCUGACCAAGAAGCCCCGGCUAACUACGUGCCAGCAGCCGCGGUAAUACGUAGGGGGCACGCGUUAUCCGGAUUUACUGGGAGGAAAAGGAGCGUAGACGGUGAUGUAAGUCUGGAGGGAAAGCCCGGGGCCCAACCCCGGGACUGCUUUGGAAACUGUGUAACUGGAGUACAGGAGGGGCAGGCGGAAUUCCUGGUGUAGCGGUGAAAGGCGUAGAUAUCAGGAGGAACACCGGCGGCGAAGGCGGCCUGCUGGACUGAAACUGACGUUGAGGCUCGAAAGCGUGGGGAGCAAACAGGAUUAGAUACCCGGGUAGUC